rnacentral:lncRNA from 1 species
GAUACAGGUAAACUUCUCAACGGAUUCUCUAUCAUUUCUUUUUUUUUCGUUUCGUUUAAUUGAUCUAUGUUAUAGUGUUAUAUGAUAAUAAGAUGGUUAGAAAUCCUUUAUUUUUUCAACCUAAUCGCUCUUUUGACUUCGGAAAAAACUUUCUUUAUCAAUAUACUGUUUCUUCUACACAUACAUCUCCAUAAUAGAAAAUGGUAAUAGUUAGGAUUCAUUAAAAAAUUGAGAAUCCACUCAUGGGAUAAGAAAUCCUUCCCGCAUCAGGCACUAAUAAAUUUUUAACGUCUAAUCAGAUCGGGAAUCAUUCAAAUUAAGAACAAAAGCU